rnacentral:lncRNA from 1 species
AAAGAGGAGCCAGGGGGUGAGCUAGUGAAUCCUAAAGCUGGUACAGAGGAGGCGGGGUCAGAGAGAAGAUCAAGGGAGCUCUGCAAACAAGAUUAAGAUCUGAAUGCAGGAACUGGAAAAGCGCGGGCAGACCCCAGAAGGUGGAGCUCCCAUGCCUUUAUGCCCAGCACCUGAAAGAGUAGUAAACUCAGUGCUCCAAGGUAUGCUAAUCAUAAAACAGAUAGCGACAUUCCUCCACCCACCCGCUUCCUGGGUUCAAGGAGUGUUCAUUCAAAGAAAGUCACCCUGACCCACCCUGACCAUUGCUGGAACCUGCAAUGCAAAUGUGCUAUCCUUAGGGGCUCUUAGAAACUGUCUUGAGAGUUAACAAUUACCAGGUAUUCCUUGUGACACCUGUGACUUUGUACUUCCUUGUGACUCUUAACUAGUAUUUUUGGUAUUUUCCAACAACGCCCUUCCCACC